rnacentral:rRNA from 1 species
UACGUAGGGUGCGAGCGUUAAUCGGAAUUACUGGGCGUAAAGGGUGCGUAGGCGGGUUUUUAAGUCAGGGGGGAAAUCCUGGAGCUCAACUCCAGAACUGCCUUUGAUACUGAAGAUCUUGAGUUCGGGAGAGGUGAGUGGAACUGCGAGUGUAGAGGUGAAAUUCGUAGAUAUUCGCAAGAACACCAGUGGCGAAGGCGGCUCACUGGCCCGAUACUGACGCUGAGGCACGAAAGCGUGGGGAGCAAACAGG